UACAUGGGGUGCAAACGUUGCUCGGAAUCAUUGGGCGUAAAGCGCGCGUAGGCGGUUACUUAAGUCGGAUGUGAAAGCCCCGUCGGCUUAACUGAGGAAGUGCAUCCGAAACUGAGUAGCUGGAGUACGAAAGAGGGUCGCGGAAUUCCCGGUGUAGAGGUGAAAAUUCGUAGAUAUCGGGAGGAACACCGGUGGCGAAGGCGGCGACCUGGGUCGAGACUGACGCUGAUGCGCGAAAGACCAGGGGAGGCGAACGGG
rnacentral:rRNA from 1 species